GGAGGACUGGCCGAGAGGUCGAUGGCGGCUGACUUGAAAUCAGUUAGAGUGCAAGCUCUCAGGGGUUCGAAUCCUCUGUCCUCCGCCA
rnacentral:tRNA from 1 species